CCAGGGCAAAACCAGAUUAUAACCCCUAGGCAAGAGCAGGAUACAUGCCAAAUUUCAUCCGGCGUUGUUGAUGGACUUACCACUGGGACUCCAAUCAAGAUUGAGAUUCACAACCAAAAUCCAAGAAAAGAUGACUACCAUGAAAUGUCCAUGG